CCUACGGGAGGCAGCAGUGAGGAAUAUUGGUCAAUGGCCGUAAGGCUGAACCAGCCAAGUCGCGUGAAGGAUGACGGCCCUACGGGUUGUAAACCUCUUUUGCCGGGGAGCAACGGGCGCCACGUGUGGCGCCACUGAGAGGACCCGGAGAAAAAGCAGCGGCUAACUCCGUGCCAGCAGCCGCGGUAAUACGGAGGAUGCGAGCGUUAUCCGGAUUUAUUGGGUUUAAAGGGUGCGUAGGCGGAUCGUUAAGUCAGUGGUCAAAUUGAGGGGCUCAACCCCUUCCCGCCAUUGAAACUGGCGCUCUUUAGUGGAAGAGAAGUAUGCGGCAUGCGUGGUGUAGCGGU
rnacentral:rRNA from 1 species